rfam:Gossypium raimondii Chr02_contig_1308, whole genome shotgun sequence.
GCGCUUUUAGUUUCAUUCGGUAGAACGUGGGUCUCCAAAUCCAAUAUCGUAGGUUCAAAUCCUACAGAGCAUA